AUUGCCGGCGGGAGCCUGCGGUCCCGCGGCGGCGAGACGAGCUUUUUCCUGUGUUCGCGACUAGCAUUGUGGCUUAGGGAGUUGCUUCCCGCGGCUCUGCUCCUUGGCGCGCCUGUGCCCUCCACCUUGAACGGGCCACGCUGGUUCUCAUCCAGCAACCGAAGCCGAGACUGUGGAGGCGGCGCCCGGCGUCCAGGGCGGGACUAGCGCCUGAUGGGACUCGGCGCUGUCAUCUCCUUAGGGGCCUUCCCUUCGCCUUGGCCUGCUGGGGUGAGAGACGAAGACUGCGCCAUGAGAACGGUCCGAGGCCGUUAACCGGGAGCCCAGGGGCAAGGGAGCCCGCCACCGUCUGCGCCUGUGGCAGGGACUCGGGGACAGCCUGGGCGUGGGGUCGCGUCCUAGUGACAGAACAAGCCCCGGGUGUGCCCACUGGGAGCAUUCCGUGUGGAAGCUGGAAGCGCGCUAACUGGAGGCGGCGAUUCGUCCUAGGAGGAAUUUUCUGGAGCAAAACUUGGUUUGUGUUAAGAGCACCAUUGUUUACCUGGGACUCAACGCUGUCAAUUUUCUGGAGCGAAACUUGGUUUGUGUCAAGAGUACCACUGUUUGCCUGGGACUCAUGGUUGUCAAAGUGCUUCUUCUGAGGAAGGUCUUUUUCCUUAGCAGACUCCACCUGCUUCAACACUGUUUCUUGGACUUCCUGGACUCCACCCUGCAAGGUAUCUUCUAAUGUAGAGGACAAGGUACAAUCCCUUGAGGAUUCUUGCACUUUCAGGCUGGGGGCUGGUUCUUCCUGAGGAAUGUCAGAAUUUGGAGCUAACUCUUUAUUUUCCAAUGUAGUCUCCCACCCUGAAAAAAUAAACAAAAGAUGUGGAUACAACAGGGAGAUGUGCUGGGAUGGGUCUGAGAGCAUGAAAUGCAUAAUUAAGUUCAAAAGUCAGGAUUUUUUUUUCCAAGUAGAGUCAUGCAACCUGGAGAGAGACUGAAAAGCAAUGAAGCAGCAGGGAGGGGAGUACUGACCUUGGUGAACAAGGGACAGAAAGGGUAGGGAGUAUCCUCUGAGCUCUUCGAGUUCCUGUUCUCUUAUACUGCCUCAGGAGAUAGACAGCAAAUCACUCCUUCACUGGACCUAAGGCUGCUUCUGGCCAACCAAUGCCCCCACCCCUGUAAGUCUACAGUUCUACUUAACAGACCCUGGACGGAGCAAGGGCCCCUUGAGGGAAUGCCCAGUGUGGAGUCCAGAGAAGGUAAACACCCCUGACUUGGGGCUCCUGUGGCCUACCAGCCCUGAGGUGGGUGAAGAGGGGGCACAGCCUUACCCACAGAGACCAGGUGCCCAAAGGUCUCCAGCAUCACAUCGCGGUACUCAGUCCUCUGUGUCGGACCCAGAAGCCCCCACUCUUCCCGGCUGAAGUCCACAGCCACAUCCUGGAAGGUAACUGGCUCCUGUAACAUCACACGUGUGUCUAUGCUCAGCAAGAGUGUCAGAGGGUUGUCAAUGAGGGCAGAAGAAAGGCCAGCUGGGAGGUUCUGACAGAGCUCACUGUGCUAGAGACUCUCUUGCUUUGGGGAUUUGCUCAGAGACACCAACCCAGGGCCCACAAGAGUUCUACUGGGUCCAAACCAGGGUCUGGGUCUCAGGCUGGGAGGCAGAGCCCUUGCUUCAUAAAGAGCUCCAAGUGCAACAAGCAAACAACUCCAUCCUAACGGCUCUAUCCGGCUUGCCCAGUGCUGAAAUCUUCCCACUGCAGAGGGUUCUCCAUCUAUUAAUACUGUCUUCCCACUUGGUGGAAAUGACAACCAAGCCCCUGCCUUUGUCGACAGGGCUGACCUGGGGGAGGGCAGCCACCUUGGCACAGCCAUGACUGGUCCUUUCUGGGGAACUGACCAGGACUUUAGGAAGAAGAGGUUCCCCCAACCCUGCUUUACCAGGAUCUGAGGCAUUUUGCUUACAUGGGGCAGAAUCUGCCUAAGAAGAAAGGGGAGUGGCCAGGCACAGUGGCUGACACCUGUAAUCCCAGCACUUUGGGAGGCCGAGGCAGGUGAAUCACUUGAGGUCAGGAGUUCGAGACCAGCCUGGCCAACAUGGUGAAACCCCAUCUCUAUUAAAAAUACCAAAAAUUAGCCAGGUGUAGUGGUGGCUGCCUGUAAUCCCAGCUACUCAGGAGGUUGAGACAGGAGAAUCACUUGAAUCUGGGAGGCAGAGGUUGCAGUGAGCUGAGAUCGCGCCGUUGCACUCCAGCCUGGGCAACAAGAGUGAAACUCCAUCUCAAAAAAAAAAAAAAAAAAAAAAAAAAAAGAAGGAGGAGGAGGAAGAAAAAGGAAGAAGAAGGAAGAAGAAGAAAGGGGAGAAAGCAGAGCCAUGAAACAGGUUGGCCAGAGAUUCUUCCCAUCACCUGGGAGCACCUGGAUGCAGCCUUCCUUGCCUGAAGCCUACUAGAGAAAACAUGAGAGCCAAUAAAUUUACUUCUACGCUUGA